CUAGAGCUCCAGUUCUUCUCUGUUGUGAAAAUACCACUCACCUCACAGGGCUUCAGGUUUCUCCUUCCAACUGACAAAUGUGGACUGGGCACCUACUUAAGGCCCAGGACUGUUCUAGGCGCCUGGGAUUCAACCACAAACAAAGCAGUCUCUGCCCUUUGGAGACUUAAAGGGAGACAGACAACGAACCUAACAGAAAGAAACUUCUCACUGUGGUCAACCUGACCCAUGGAAGGAAUCUGGGCAGGGCGUGAGGCUUUGGAAGGAGGACUGGGGUGGCUUCCCUGAGAAGGUGGUAUUUGAAAGAGAUGUGGAUGUAUGAGGAAGAGGGGCCUGGGUAGAACUGCAGCCAGGGCAAAGCCUGGAGGACUGGAUCAAACACCAAACAGCAAGCAGGUGGUUGAGACGGAUGAAAGGAGGUAUGCUGGAUGCUCAGUAAGUGCUGUGCCUGACCAGGAGCCCUCCCUCAUCCUUCUAGGACCCUUUUUGGCUCUUCCUUGGGCGGUGAAGCUGGAUGGAUAACCAGGUCCUAGAAUUAGAGGGGAAGAUGCAGGACAGUUGAGCUGUCUUCAGGCAGCUGAAGAACCAUCUCACAUUCAUUCCUGAGUCUCCACAAGGAAGAUUGGGCAACUGAAUCCAAAAGGGCAAAUUGACUUGCUCCAACAGCUGUGGAUGGUAGAGCUACAACCCAACCCCAGGGACUCUCUGCCUCCAGGAAGACUUCAAGCAAUUGACUUCUGGUUGCCAUGAUUCUUCCUUCCCUCUGUCCCUAUGAUAAUACACCAGCCUAUGGCACAUGACCUCUGUGGCCGGCUCUACUCCAUGCAGUUUCAUGUGUUCACUCCCUUCCUCUGCUCACCAACCUUAUAAGAAGAUGCUAUAGUCUUAUCCAAGGCACAGAAAGGCUAGCCACCUUGCCCAAGGUAACACAGCAAGUCAAUGACAGAACCAAAAUUCCAGCCCACACAGACUGAAACCAGAAGCCAAGACAUUCUUUACCAUGACACCAUGCAAGGGUUUGAGGUCUCACUAGAAUUUGCUGCAUUGGAUGACCUAGAAAUCAGUAGCCCAUUUGAUUGGGUUCCUGUGACAUUUCAGUGAGAAGGCAGGUUGGUACAGGGCCUUGCCCUACAACAGGGAUCUUGCAUUUGCAGACAGGUGGAAACAGGCUCCUCCCCUUUCUGAUGGUGUAUGGCACCCACUUCAUUGGUGUGGAGUGCCUCAUGGUGAGGUCAAUUCUAUUCUCACUGAUCCCACCACCCACACUCAGGACCUGGGGAUAGGGGACCAGGGGAGAUGACUGGGAGCCCCGCUGUCCAAGAGACUAGCCACCUGAUGGGGACAGCAUAUGAGAAGGUUCCAGGUAAAGGCACCUGUGCUUCUGCCCCGCCCCUAGCUGGGCCUUGGGACGCAGAGCACAAGGGCUCCCUGCCCUUGUCCACCUCUCCCCUGUCCUUCCCCCACUCCUGCCUGGCCCCUGCCUGCUUCCCUCCCCACCCACUUUCCCAGAGCAAGAACAAACAAGAAGACAAACCCAGCAGCACAGUCAGCUUCGGAGGUGGCAGCGAGGGAUGCGGGGAACUUGCCUUCAUUUCCCCGGCUUCCC